rnacentral:tRNA from 3 species
AGGGCUGUAGUUAAGUAUAAUAUUUGGUUUGCAUCCAAAAGGUGUUGUGUAUCAACCUGCCUUA